CUUUUCCUCCGAGGCGGGAGACCACUUCUGGAAACGCUUAAGCGAUUGAAUAUGGAUGACUUUGUUAAACUAAAGUUACCAGAAUGGCAACUUCUGGAGCUGAUGGACCAUUUUGCAGGCUCCAGAGACUACAUUUCCCUGAUGGUUCUGCCAAGCCUGAUGCCACCUGCAGUCUUCAGGAUGGGCCUGAAAGACCGUGAGGACUACAGUGUCUGACGCCAUGAAGGCCUUCAUCGAUCUUAAGCCUGUCGGAACAAACAUGGUGGAGUACCUUCAGGCAGCAGACCAGGCCGUACCCCUACACCCUGGUGUUGGGAGGAGAGGAGUGCUGCUCACAGCCAUUCACCGUUCUCAGUGGGCCGGCCCUGGAGCAGGACAGCGGUGUCCAAGCUGGACAUGUUUGUUUG